CACAACUCGGAGACAAAUUGCAGGCGCUAUGAACCGGAGCGAGGCGGUGACCUCCUAUUUGCUCGGAGCGAUGUCUGCAAUUCCAGAUUUACACGAUGUUGAUAAAGACGACAUUAUCUCCUGGCGAAGAAGAUGGCGUUGUUGGCGUGGUCUCUGG